rnacentral:rRNA from 1 species
AACGAACGCUGGCGGCAGGCUUAACACAUGCAAGUCGAACGCCCCGCAAGGGGAGUGGCAGACGGGUGAGUAACGCGUGGGAAUCUACCCAGUUCUACGGAACAACACAGGGAAACUUGUGCUAAUACCGUAUACGCCCCAAGGGGGAAAGAUUUAUCGGAAUUGGAUGAGCCCGCGUUGGAUUAGCUAGUUGGUGAGGUAAUGGCUCACCAAGGCGACGAUCCAUAGCUGGUCUGAGAGGAUGAUCAGCCACACUGGGACUGAGACACGGCCCAGACUCCUACGGGAGGCAGCAGUGGGGAAUAUUGGACAAUGGGCGCAAGCCUGAUCCAGCCAUGCCGCGUGAGUGAUGAAGGCCUUAGGGUUGUAAAGCUCUUUCAGCUGGAGUGAAACGGUGCGCUCUAACAUAGCGCGCUAAUGACGGUACCAGCAGAAGAAGCACCGGCUAACUACGUGCCAGCAGCCGCGG